GGGUUGUGAGGUUAAGCGACUAAGCGUACACGGUGGAUGCCCUGGCAGUCAGAGGCGAUGAAGGACGUGCUAAUCUGCGAUAAGCGUCGGUAAGGUGAUAUGAACCGUUAUAACCGGCGAUUUCCGAAUGGGGAAACCCAGUGUGAUUCGUCACACUAUCAUUAACUGAAUCCAUAGGUUAAUGAGGCGAACCGGGGGAACUGAAACAUCUAAGUACCCCGAGGAAAAGAAAUCAACCGAGAUUCCCCCAGUAGCGGCGAGCGAACGGGGAGGAGCCCAGAGCCUGAAUCAGUGUGUGUGUUAGUGGAAGCGUCUGGAAAGGCGCGCGAUACAGGGUGACAGCCCCGUACACAAAAAUGCACAUACUGUGAGCUCGAUGAGUAGGGCGGGACACGUGGUAUCCUGUCUGAAUAUGGGGGGACCAUCCUCCAAGGCUAAAUACUCCUGACUGACCGAUAGUGAACCAGUACCGUGAGGGAAAGGCGAAAAGAACCCCGGCGAGGGGAGUGAAAAAGAACCUGAAACCGUGUACGUACAAGCAGUGGGAGCCUCUUUUAUGGGGUGACUGCGUACCUUUUGUAUAAUGGGUCAGCGACUUAUAUUCUGUAGCAAGGUUAACCGAAUAGGGGAGCCGAAGGGAAACCGAGUCUUAACCGGGCGUUAAGUUGCAGGGUAUAGACCCGAAACCCGGUGAUCUAGCCAUGGGCAGGUUGAAGGUUGGGUAACACUAACUGGAGGACCGAACCGACUAAUGUUGAAAAAUUAGCGGAUGACUUGUGGCUGGGGGUGAAAGGCCAAUCAAACCGGGAGAUAGCUGGUUCUCCCCGAAAGCUAUUUAGGUAGCGCCUCGUGAAUUCAUCUCCGGGGGUAGAGCACUGUUUCGGCAAGGGGGUCAUCCCGACUUACCAACCCGAUGCAAACUGCGAAUACCGGAGAAUGUUAUCACGGGAGACACACGGCGGGUGCUAACGUCCGUCGUGAAGAGGGAAACAACCCAGACCGCCAGCUAAGGUCCCAAAGUCAUGGUUAAGUGGGAAACGAUGUGGGAAGGCCCAGACAGCCAGGAUGUUGGCUUAGAAGCAGCCAUCAUUUAAAGAAAGCGUAAUAGCUCACUGGUCGAGUCGGCCUGCGCGGAAGAUGUAACGGGGCUAAACCAUGCACCGAAGCUGCGGCAGCGACACUGUGUGUUGUUGGGUAGGGGAGCGU
rnacentral:rRNA from 1 species